CCUUCAUACUCUGAGGCUGCACACGUUGUUCACAAUAAUCAGUCAGAAUGAGUUACUUAAUCAGAUUACUCGCUCGUGAGUAAAUAAGAUGAUUUACAAGGAAAGCCAAGAGGUUUUCUGGUGAAAAAGGGGCUCUCAUUUUUCACGGAGCAGGCUGGGCAGGGUGAGGAGCCCGCUCUCCUCUGCCGCUCCCGGGGCACUGCGGGCAGGGCAGAGCGGCUGCGGGGCAGGCUGGUGCCACUUUAAGAGCACCAGUGGGAGGUGGUGGAGGCACCGCCGUACAAGCAAGGGCCGGGGCUCCUGCAGCGCUGCCCUGGGGCUCGCACAGCCCGCCCUGCCCGCCCUGGCCAGGCGGAGCCGCCGGCCCGGCAGCGCAGGAUGUGCGCCCGAGCGGAGCGGCGGCAGCCCGGGGGCAGCGCAGCCCGGGGGCACUGAGCAGCUUCAGACCCCUGAGAUGGAGGAAAUCAUGGUGGAAACAAUCCUGGCCCCGUGGGAAAUCCUGCUGGUCAUUUUUGCUGCAGUGCUGGUGAUGAGUUUCCUGAUGCUGCUGCCCCCAGCUGCGGUGCUGAUCUGGAGGAUGAGGCGUGCGCCGCAGAUCUCUCUGCAGGGCUCCGUGUGAGCCAGCCCCGCUCCCACCGCUGCCCCGGGAGGAUGGCUCACCCUGAGAACACCUCUCAGGGUCACUCUCACUACCUGUGGUCCCCCCCAGAGCAGUGGGUCUGCCCAUCUGUUGCUGCUAAGUUCCUGUGAGAAGAGAACGUGUGUGAUUUUUGUGGCCAUGAGCUGCAGCUCUCCACACUUUGCCUUGGGUGUUCUGGCUGGGCUGUAAUUACUGCUGUUGGCUCAGCUCCUGCACUCACUGAGUUCUUCUCUGGUGUUAUAAUGGACUGAAAGAGAAGGAUAAUGCAGCACUGUAUUCCCUUAAUUAAUAUCAGGAAAGCCUCCCUCUCUAUAGUUACACUGUAAAUAUUACCAAAGCCUUUAGCUGACUGACACUUAUGCAGGUGGAUUUAUCCAAAGCAUGCAGGAUACUCUGGGGAGGCAGUGGUUUAGUCUGGUUGUAUUGCAAAACCUAAAAAAAAAAUAAAAUUUCAGAGAAUACUUCAAGA